rnacentral:rRNA from 1 species
AUGAACGCUAGCUACAGGCUUAACACAUGCAAGUCGAGGGGCAUCAGGAAGAAAGCUUGCUUUCUUUGCUGGCGACCGGCGCACGGGUGAGUAACACGUAUCCAACCUUCCCUUUACUCGGGGAUAGCCUUUCGAAAGAAAGAUUAAUACCCGAUGGCAUAAUGAUUCCGCAUGGUUUCAUUAUUAAAGGAUUCCGGUAAAGGAUGGGGAUGCGUUCCAUUAGGUUGUUGGUGAGGUAACGGCUCACCAAGCCUUCGAUGGAUAGGGGUUCUGAGAGGAAGGUCCCCCACAUUGGAACUGAGACACGGUCCAAACUCCUACGGGAGGCAGCAGUGAGGAAUAUUGGUCAAUGGGCGCUAGCCUGAACCAGCCAAGUAGCGUGAAGGAUGAAGGCUCUAUGGGUCGUAAACUUCUUUUAUAUAAGAAUAAAGUGCAGUAUGUAUACUGUUUUGUAUGUAUUAUAUGAAUAAGGAUCGGCUAACUCCGUGCCAGCAGCCGCGGUAAUACGGAGGAUCCGAGCGUUAUCCGGAUUUAUUGGGUUUAAAGGGAGCGUAGGUGGACUGGUAAGUCAGUUGUGAAAGUUUGCGGCUCAACCGUAAAAUUGCAGUUGAUACUGUCAGUCUUGAGUACAGUAGAGGUGGGCGGAAUUCGUGGUGUAGCGGUGAAAUGCUUAGAUAUCACGAAGAACUCCGAUUGCGAAGGCAGCUCACUGGACUGCAACUGACACUGAUGCUCGAAAGUGUGGGUAUCAAACAGGAUUAGAUACCCUGGUAGUCCACACAGUAAACGAUGAAUACUCGCUGUUUGCGAUAUACAGUAAGCGGCCAAGCGAAAGCAUUAAGUAUUCCACCUGGGGAGUACGCCGGCAACGGUGAAACUCAAAGGAAUUGACGGGGGCCCGCACAAGCGGAGGAACAUGUGGUUUAAUUCGAUGAUACGCGAGGAACCUUACCCGGGCUUAAAUUGCAGUGGAAUGAUGUGGAAACAUGUCAGUGAGCAAUCACCGCUGUGAAGGUGCUGCAUGGUUGUCGUCAGCUCGUGCCGUGAGGUGUCGGCUUAAGUGCCAUAACGAGCGCAACCCUUAUCUUUAGUUACUAACAGGUCAUGCUGAGGACUCUAGAGAGACUGCCGUCGUAAGAUGUGAGGAAGGUGGGGAUGACGUCAAAUCAGCACGGCCCUUACGUCCGGGGCUACACACGUGUUACAAUGGGGGGUACAGAAGGCAGCUAGCGGGUGACCGUAUGCUAAUCCCAAAAUCCUCUCUCAGUUCGGAUCGAAGUCUGCAACCCGACUUCGUGAAGCUGGAUUCGCUAGUAAUCGCGCAUCAGCCACGGCGCGGUGAAUACGUUCCCGGGCCUUGUACACACCGCCCGUCAAGCCAUGGGAGCCGGGGGUACCUGAAGUACGUAACCGCAAGGAUCGUCCUAGGGUAAAACUGGUGACUGGGGCU